AGAAGACCCCAUGGAGCUUUAAACCUGACAGCACCCGCUCAUUCUAUACCCCAUUAUUUGCCCGACCCCUGUCUGCUCAGUUUUAGGUUGGGGUGACCACGGAGUAUAAAAUAACCUCCAUGAAGAAGGGGAUAUUUCCCUUAUUAGAGAACCACACUUCCAAGAACUAAUAAAUUAAUUUUCAAUGACCCGAUACCCGAUAAUCGAUCAACGAACCAAGUUACCCUGGGGAUAACAGCGCAAUCCACCCUGAAAGCCCUUAUUAACAGGUGGGUUUACGACCUCGAUGUUGGAUCAGGGUAUCCCAGUGGUGCAGCAGCUACUGAGGGUUCGUUUGUUCAACGAUUAAAACCCU
rnacentral:rRNA from 1 species